AUCACUUGGGAUCUUGUUGAAAGGCAGAUUCUGACUCAGCAUGUCAGGGAAUGGCCUGAGAUUCUGCAUUUUCAAUAAGCUCCCUGGUGAUGCUGG
rnacentral:pre_miRNA from 1 species